GUGAAGAAAACAGGUUUGUAAAUGAUGUUGUACAUCAUGCAGAUAGCUCAGAAGAAGAAGUAAGUUUUUUUUUUAAUUACAAAAGUAAAUAUAUAAUAUAAUAUUUGUUGCUGCCUUGUUCAAUAUAAAUGUUUCAAACAUGCAGGUAACAUUUAUAUAUGUAUUAGUUUGAAUAAAUCAUUUUAAUAAAGUUACAUUAUAGGCAGGAAUGUUUGACUGGAAAUAUAAACGAUGUUGUACAUAAUGCAGAUAGCUUAGGCAUAAAAGAGAUUGGUGAAAUGGAGAAUGAGAUUAACUAGGGUGAAAAAAAAUGAAUAUUAAUAUGUGAAUGGUACUUUGUUUAACAUCUACCUGUUUCUACAGAUACAGUACAGACGCAUUUAUAAAUGGGCUUGAUGUUUUUUUGAAUUAAAUAUGUUGUAUUGA
rnacentral:lncRNA from 1 species